rnacentral:rRNA from 1 species
AUUGAACGCUGGCGGCAGGCCUAACACAUGCAAGUCGAACGAGCGGCGGACGGGUGAGUAAUGUCUGGGAAACUGCCUGAUGGAGGGGGAUAACUACUGGAAACGGUAGCUAAUACCGCAUACCAUCAGAUGUUCCCAGAUGGGAUUAGCUAGUCGGUUGUGUAAUGGCUCACCUAGGCGACGAUCCCUAGCUGGUCUGAGAGGAUGACCAGCCACACGGGAACUGAGACACGGUCCAGACGCCUACGGGAGGCAGCAGUGGGGAAUAUUGCACAAUGGGCGCAAGCCGGAUGCAGCCAUGCCGCGUGUGUGAAGAAGGCCUUCGGGUUGUAAAGCACUUUCAGCGAGGAGGCGUUACUCGCAGAAGAAGCACCGGCUAACUCCGUGCCAGCCGCCGCGGUAAUUC